ensembl:lncRNA novel transcript
UAGAAACAGACCCACACUGGCCACCGCACCAGAUUCAAGGCAUUUGUUACUGUUAGGGACUAUGAUGGCCACAUCAGUUUAAGUGUUAAGUGCUCCAAGGAGGUUACUACUGCCAUCCAAGGGACCAUCACCCUGGCCAAGCUUUCCAUUGUCCCUAUGCGGAGAGGUUACUGGGGGAACAAGAUCGGCAAGUCCUACACCACCCCCUGUAUGGUUACAGGCUGCUGUAGCUCUGGGCUAGUACACCUUAUCCCUGCCCCCAGGAACAAUGGCAUCAUCUCGACUCCUGUGCCCAAGAUGCUGCUGCUGAUGGCCGGUAUUGACAACUGCUACACCUCAGCCAGGGGCUGCACUGCCACCCUGGACAACUUCACCAAGGCCACCUUCAAUGCCAUCUCCAGGACCUAUAGCUGCCUGACCCCCAGCCUCUGGAAAGAGACUAUUCACCAAGCCUCCCUGUGGAAUGCACUGACCAUCACAUCAAGACCCACACCAGAGCCUCCAUGCAGAGGACCCAGGCUCCAGCUGUGGUUACAGCAUAAGCUUUCAUACAAGAAUAAUAGUGAAUUACACCUGUUAAAAAUAAUAAGCAGAAGAAAAUGAAAUUGAACAAACCAGCCACCGUAGUCCCUUCUAAAGCGACGUGGUCUGCGGGCAUCAGUGCCCUUCCUCUCUGGCUAUAGCUCUUCGGCAUCUGAAGAAAGUUAUCCUAACUAUUGGGUGAUCCAGAUUUGGGCACUGUCUGCUAUGAUGAUGCCAGCUGGUCGGGAAGGAAUAUAAAGUAUAGGCUCAACCCUUCCACAGUCACUGUACUGGGAAUUCAGGCUUUUCCUCUCUGUUGAUGUCAAGAAUUAACCUGUAGAUAACAUUCUUUUUUUUUUCUUUUUUUUUUUUUUCAAUUUUUCCUUGUUCUUGUCAAAGGCUGUGUCGCUUAAAACCAAAUCUUGAUAGAUUCUUCAUCUUUAUCACUCUCUAUGAGAAGUAAAUAUGAUUUAAGUGAACCACAGUGAGAGGCCUGUCCUCACUACAGCAAAUAAGAUGUGUCCCAGGUGACAAGUCCAGUCUCCUUUUAACAUGGUGCCCAGAAUUCCACAUACCUGAGCUUUGGGGGCUGAUACAAAGCCACUGCCUCUGAUCCCACGGAAUGACCUGAAUUUACUAUCAGUUUUGCCACAAUCAGUGCAGUUUGAGGAUACGUAGACCCCUGAGAUGAGGCCUGAGAUAGAUGUUCUGGGAAACCCCAAGGAAGCUAAAGUACCUGCCAUGGUUUCUUUCAUGGCAGGUUGAGUAAGCCAAGCUCCUGAGAAUGAUUGGUCACAUUGUCUUUGCUGUUAAGGUUUCUUGGUUUACAGAUGGUGAAGUUGCAGACAAGUUAGCAAACCAACUGAAUUUUAAUAAAGGAAGCUUUAGGAAAAUGGAUGAAGAUGCAGUUGGAAAAUUAAAGUCAUGCUUCCUUGAUACAUACCUCAAUUCUGGCAACUUCUCACUUGGAAUUUUCCAAAGUCAGUUUUUGGUAAUCUUGCCAUUUGUAUUAUCUUUAUUUAUAUAGUUCUGGUUAUGCUUGGUGUGUGCCAGCUGUUUUGGGAGUGAUGUUUUUCCUUAUUUCUCUUGGCUCCUGUUAAGUGUUAAAUUGCUGAAACUGACCUUUAAUGCUUCCAAAGCAAUCAGCAUCUUUCUCUCUGGAUGGCUUUUAGAAGUGGACACAGUUUACUGAUUUAGCCAGUGAAGAGAAAGCUUUCCAUAGUGUGGUUUACUCAGAGCAGGUGACAAAAGGAUGAAUUUCUGGCUGGGCCCAGUGGCUCACGCCUAUAAUCCCAGCACUUUAGGAGGCCAAGGUGGGCAAUCAUUUGAGGUCAGGAGUUUGAGACCAGCCUGGCCAACAUGGCAAAACCCUAUCUCUACUAAAAAUACAAAAAUUAACCAGGUGUGGUGACAGGCACAUGUAGCUACUCAGGAGGCUGAGACAAGAAUCACUUGAACCCGGGAGGCAAAGGUUGCGGUAAGCUGCGAGCAUGCCACUGUACUCCAGCCUGAGCUACAGAGCAAGACUCUGCCUC